rnacentral:rRNA from 1 species
UACAGAGGUCCCAAGCGUUGUUCGGAUUCACUGGGCGUAAAGGGUGCGUAGGUGGCUUGGUAAGUUUGAUGUGAAAUCUCCGGGCUUAACCCGGAAAUGGCAUUGAAUGACUAUUGAGCUGGAGGUUUGGAGGGGGGACUGGAAUCUCGGUGUAGCAGUGAAAUGCGUAGAUAUCGAGAGGAACACCAGUGGCGAAGGCGAGUCCCUGGACAACACCUGACACUGAGGCACGAAAGCUAGGGGAGCAAACAGG